rnacentral:rRNA from 1 species
AUGAACGCUGGCGGCGUGCUUAACACAUGCAAGUCGAACGAUGAAGCCCAGCUUGCUGGGUGGAUUAGUGGCGAACGGGUGAGUAACACGUGAGUAACCUGCCCUUAACUCUGGGAUAAGCCUGGGAAACUGGGUCUAAUACCGGAUAGGAGCGCCUACCGCAUGGUGGGUGUUGGAAAGAUUUAUCGGUUUUGGAUGGACUCGCGGCCUAUCAGCUUGUUGGUGAGGUAAUGGCUCACCAAGGCGACGACGGGUAGCCGGCCUGAGAGGGUGACCGGCCACACUGGGACUGAGACACGGCCCAGACUCCUACGGGAGGCAGCAGUGGGGAAUAUUGCACAAUGGGCGAAAGCCUGAUGCAGCGACGCCGCGUGAGGGAUGACGGCCUUCGGGUUGUAAACCUCUUCCAGUAGGGAAGAAGCGAAAGUGACGGUACCUGCAGAAGAAGCACCGGCUAACUACGUG